rnacentral:rRNA from 1 species
GGGACACGUGGUAUCCUGUCUGAAUAUGGGGGGACCAUCCUCCAAGGCUAAAUACUCCUGACUGACCGAUAGUGAACCAGUACCGUGAGGGAAAGGCGAAAAGAACCCCGGCGAGGGGAGUGAAAAAGAACCUGAAACCGUGUACGUACAAGCAGUGGGAGCACCUUCGGGUGUGACUGCGUACCUUUUGUAUAAUGGGUCAGCGACUUAUAUUCUGUAGCAAGGUUAACCGUAUAGGGGAGCCGCAGGGAAACCGAGUCUUAACUGGGCGUUAAGUUGCAGGGUAUAGACCCGAAACCCGGUGAUCUAGCCAUGGGCAGGUUGAAGGUUGGGUAACACUAACUGGAGGACCGAACCGACUAAUGUUGAAAAAUUAGCGGAUGACUUGUGGCUGGGGGUGAAAGGCCAAUCAAACCGGGAGAUAGCUGGUUCUCCCCGAAAGCUAUUUAGGUAGCGCCUCGUGAACUCAUCUUCGGGGGUAGAGCACUGUUUCGGCUAGGGGGUCAUCCCGACUUACCAACCCGAUGCAAACUACGAAUACCGAAGAAUGUUAUCACGGGAGACACACGGCGGGUGCUAACGUCCGUCGUGAAGAGGGAAACAACCCAGACCGCCAGCUAAGGUCCCAAAGUCAUGGUUAAGUGGGAAACGAUGUGGGAAGGCACAGACAGCCAGGAUGUUGGCUUAGAAGCAGCCAUCAUUUAAAGAAAGCGUAAUAGCUCACUGGUCGAGUCGGCCUGCGCGGAAGAUGUAACGGGGCUAAACCAUGCACCGAAGCUGCGGCAGCGACACUAUGUGUUGUUGGGUAGGGGAGCGUUCUGUAAGCCUGCGAAGGUGUGCUGUGAGGCAUGCUGGAGGUAUCAGAAGUGCGAAUGCUGACAUAAGUAACGAUAAAGCGGGUGAAAAGCCCGCUCGCCGGAAGACCAAGGGUUCCUGUCCAACGUUAAUCGGGGCAGGGUGAGUCGACCCCUAAGGCGAGGCCGAAAGGCGUAGUCGAUGGGAAACAGGUUAAUAUUCCUGUACU